rnacentral:rRNA from 1 species
GAGUUUGAUCCUGGCUCAGAAUGAACGCUGGCGGCGUGCUUUACACAUGCAAGUCGAGCGAGGCGUGUAGCAAUACACAGUCGAGCGGCGAACGGGUGAGUAACGCGUGGAUAACCUGCCCUUCAGUGGGGAACAACCGGGGGAAACUCCGGCUGAUACCGCAUACGACCGAGAGGUGAAAGGGGCCCGCAAGGGUCUCGCUGAUGGAGGGGUCCGCGUCCGAUUAGCUAGUUGGCGGGUAAUGGCCCACCAAGGCUACGAUCGGUAGCCGGCCUGAGAGGGUGAUCGGCCACACUGGAACUGAGGACACGGUCCAGACUCCUACGGGAGGCAGCAGUGGGGAAUUUUGCGCAAUGGGCGAAAGCCUGACGCAGCAACGCCGCGUGGAGGAUGAAGGUCUUUGGAUUUGUAAACUCCUGUCAGCAGGGAAAAGCGACCUGACCUCAUACGUCAGGGA